AUUGAACGCUGGCGGCAGGCCUAACACAUGCAAGUCGAGCGAGCGGCCGACGGGUGAGUAAUGUAUGGGGACUGCCCGAUCGUGGGGGAUAACUCCUGGAAACGGAAGCUAUUAUCGCAUACUACCGGAUAGCACAGAUGGGAUUAGCUCGUAGUUGAGGUAAAGGCUCACCCACGCGACGAUUCCUAGCUGGUCUGAGAGGAUGAGCAGCCCCACUGAAACUGAGACACGGCCCAGACUCAUACGGAGGCAGCGGUGGGGAAAAUUGCACUAUGGGCGCGAGCCUGAGGCGGCCAUGCCGAGUGUAUUAAGGAAGCCAUGGGGUUGUAAAGGUCUUUCAGUCUAGAGGCGUUACUAUCAGAAUAAGCACCGGCUAACUCCGUGCCAGCAGCCGCGGUAAUAC
rnacentral:rRNA from 1 species